rnacentral:rRNA from 1 species
UUGCAAAAUUCAGUGAAUCAUUCGAAUCUUCCGAACGCACCUUGCGCCCUUUGGCUAUUCCGAAGGGCAUGCCUGUUUGAGUAUCAUG